CUCUUGCAUCUCAGACCAAGCAACACAACAGUCAGUUUAGCGUUUUGGAAAGAAAAUAACGACAAGAAGAAAAUGAUUUCAAACAUUGUUUUUCUCAUCAGUCUGUUCCUGUUUGGAAUGGAAGUGGCGUCUAAGACAGUGGCUAAACAGGUUAGUUAUACACUGUACAUUUUUUUAAAACUUUCAUCCAGUUUUAAAUAAUUUAG